GUGCAAGGCGCGCGAGCGCCUCAGCCGAGCGGUACUAAUAGGCCGAGCUCUUGCCC
rnacentral:rRNA from 1 species